UCAAAGUUCAAUUAUAUCAACCAACUAUUAUAGCAGCAAAGUAUUAAAUGUAAAAAAAUGGCUUUACAUUUUGAGAGUUCGAUUCAUAAAGGAUCAGAUUUGUUAUUUGACUGUUCUUGCUUCACUUGUCAUGAAAAUGACAGAAACACAGAGGCUGAAUUCUACUGCGAGGAAUGUUCCAUUUUAUUCUGCGACAAAGGAAAUGCAGUCAUGUUGAACUCAUUGCUGAUAAAGUGAAAGACCUCCACAAGAAAGAAGAAUUCAUGCUGCUGUCAGCAAUUAUUGAUUCAAUACAUGAACAGUUGAAUCGGAAGAAAGAUGAUUUUGUGGUAAAUUUGAAGUCCCUUGAAAAGUCCUACAAUACAAUUCUCGAAAAAAUCACCGUGUUACGCAAUAAAAUAAACGAUUCUUUGGAUCUUCUGGAGAGAAACACCACCAAAGAAUUGGACACAUUGCUAGCUACCAUGCGGGCAUCUAUUCAAACUGAUAUUGAAACUUGCACCGAGUCUAUCAAAGUCAUGACGUGUGUAUAAGAUGUUUGGCUUAAUGUCACAGACAAGAGUGAAGUGAUCCUUUUUAUGCAAUACAGAAAAUCCAUUGACCAAUCCACCAAGAUUAGAGCAGUUUUAGAAGCCAUGACAACAGACAAUAAGAUGACGCUGACGUUUGUUCCUGACACAACCAUUCUACAAAUGCUCUCCGCAAUUUGUGGAGUGGGACAAUUACUCAGCCAAGAAAACACAGUACCUAGACAGACAGUGUACACAGUAUCUUACCAAUAUAGCACGAUAAAUCAAACAAAUGAUGGUACAGCAAAGUCAGACAUGGUUUCCAAUACAUUAUCGGAACCAACUUUGCAAGAUGACAUUACAAACCAAACUACUGCAAUUAACAAGCCAAUUGCGAUGUCCAAUCCAGUAUCCAAUAGUCAAGCCAUGGCUCCUGAUACAUAAACAAAUUCAUCCCUUGAGCUGCUUAAUGCGUAUUUUAUAGUGAGUUCGUGUGAUCUAAUCUUAAACCAAAUAAUGGAAGUAAAAAGCAAUAAGAGGUAUACAGUGAAAAACUGAAGACAGAUGCAUACACAUGCCGUAUAACCGGUAUCUGCGAGACAGCCUCUGGAGAACUUAUUAUCACAGGCUGGGGUAACAAUCGGACCGGUAUCUGCGAGACAGCCUCUGGAGAACUUAUUAUCACAGGCUGGGGUAACAACUGCGAGACAGCCUCUGGAGAACUUAUUAUCACAGGCUGGGGUAACAAUCGGAUAAAGCUGCUGGAUAAGACGUUCAAGGUGAUGGCCCACUGUGCCUUGCCUGGUAGACCACUGGCCAUGUGUAGCAUUGACUGCAGUGUAGUGAUAGUAGCUCUGGAUAACAUGAGUGUCAUCUAUAUCAGAGUGAUGAAACGUCUGUUCUCCAGUUGGUACAAGACAAGAUAGAGAAGCUCAAACAUUCUUGUCUAGGUAUUGCUUAUCACAAGGACAGCCUGUUCAUAACCUCAAAUACAGCACUGUACCAAUACACGGUGAAUGGGCGAUUGGUUAGCACUAUGUAUGAGGAUACAUCAGUAAGCUCCUGUGCAGUCGGUCCAGAUGGAGACAGAAUAUAUGUUGCCAACGAGGUCAAAAAACAGCUCGUCACACUAUCCAGGGAUGGCGCAUUGAUAUCCACUCUGACUGACCCUGCACUUAAUUGGGGUUAUGGAGAUGUCCCACCUGGCCUCCAUGUGACAAACUCCGGACAAAUUCUGGUCUGUGGAGGCUGGUCCCAAACAAUCCUUCAAGUGGCCAGAGAUGGGAGACAGCGACUGGCAGUGUUGGAUAUGGAGGAUGGUGUGGACUCACCAGUAUCUGUAUACUAUAGUCAACACACUGGAACACUCAUUGUGGGAAUGAAGGACAAUAAUGACAUUCUGACGUUUAAGGCAAUGACUGUUGGAAAAGGAUAGCGUGAUCAUUCAAUGUAUAACAGCAGUUUUCAAUUAUAUACCUAAACGUGUUAUGAAUCUAUCAAUAUAAUAUAUACAUGUUUAUUAUGUAAAACUGGCAGUAAUGAAUUUGCAAUAAGUUAAUAUUGGUAAUAUUUAUCUUAGAAUAUGUACUUUCAUACCUAACAAAAUAUG